ACGUACUCCCUUCGAUGCGUGCUCUCUAGAUUCGUACGGGCAUGGCGCCGCUGGUGGCGGCCGGUCCUCUUCUCCUGCCAUCCGCUGCCCUGUUCUCCUUCCCCUCCUCAUCUGCCCGCAGCCCACACAUCCGCCCCCGCUCCAGCUGCAGGUCUUCCUCCAGACGGCGACGGCGGUGCCAAAGGGCCCAACAUCCCAACUGUUGGAAGGCAAAUCCCUAGACCCAAAUCCCCUCCCGCUGCAGCCGGAGACGACUCCAAGCCCCUCCCAGUCGUAAGCCGGAGGACGAGGCCCUGGAUUCCGUCGCCGAGGAGGAGCCGGCGGUUGAGGUGGAGGAGGAGGUCGCGGUGGUGUGGAGGAGGUCCGGGAGUACUUGGAGCCGUCGGAGGAGGCCAAGGUGUACAUGUGCAGCCUUACCUACGACGUCAGCAGCUAGCACCUGACGCAGCUCUUCGAUCAGGCCGGCGUCGAGGUUUCCUAGAUGGCUGCUAUGCUACUUUUUUCGAUGAUCAAUCAUCGUGAGUUUCAAAGAAACUUCCAAUGUUAUCUCCGCCGAGUUCGCCAGUGGAAGAAGAACAUCCGUUGAGCCAUCCAAUGUCGCCUGCUGCGGCUAUACCAGAGGUAUGUAUCCCCUUGAAAGCUAAUCAGUUGAUAGAAGCCCCUGUUUCAGUUUAUUGUUUCUGAAUUGGUGCCACUUCUGAUGGCUCUUGUUUCAGUUUAUUGUUUCUGAAUUGGACAGUAGAUAGAAGCCCCUGAACCGACCCAUCUAUCUUAUGUCACAUCCAACAGAUAUAAUCAUAUGUUUUUGUGUUGUGCACCAAGAUGGCGCAGCAUCAGAUGUUUCCUGUGACAAUUUCUACUUUGUUUUAUGGAACAAUUCAUACAAGGGUGCACAAUAUGGCAAACAUAUAUAUGCGCUUCUUGUAAUUCUAAAAUAAUAUGUUGCCCAAAAUGAACAAUUCGGCAGUUGCAAAUUUUACAGGAGCGAUUUCCACUGAAGGAAGUGAUGUUCACAAUUGUCGUUUUAUGUUUUGAUCUAUUUUCCCUUUUAUUUUUUUACAAGAGCGAACUUCUACAUGAUGCAAGCUAACUCCCAGAGCUUAUACACGCUAACUGCUACUGACUCCCAAAGUGGACACUUUUUAUUGUAUAACUGCUGGACAUUUAAUGGCUAACUGAACAGAAUCGAUAAUGUGUAAAUUACUGAAACAAAAAGUGGACCGAGCACAUAGCGGUGAACUUAUGUGGUUUUUCAGUCAGCUAGCUUCUACAGCCAUCCAGGAGUAACACUAACUGCUGGAACCAGGGUAGAAAGAUAAUGAAUGAAUUCUGAUAUACAGAAUGAUCUUGUUAAAGGAUACGACUUUUGUUCAAUUUUUCCCUCGGAUGUUGAUUUUACUUGGUGAUAGUUAAUCCCAAUGCAACCUGUUUGUAUUCAUGUCUGUAGGAGCUGAUUGGUCUUCUUAUUUGACUUGUAGAUGAGCACCAAGCUGUUUUUCUUUUGAUGUACUUUACACACCUAUUUGCUCUGGAGAUGCUCCUUUUGUGCAUUCAUUUCAGACAGUAUUUUAUAACUUCUGUCCAUUGAGAAAUUCGGAUCUGUUAGUUGAUUUAUCUAUGUGCUUUGUGUUAAGUGAAGAUAACCUUAUGUGAAGAUAAUUCAGACAGUGUUACUGUAACUUUUGUCCAUUCAGAAAGUGCUGAAGGCCGGGUUGUGUCGAUCCGGUAAGUGUUGGCGGACGAUAUAGUUUCCGAUUGCUCUUGUUUUAUUUUAUUGUUUCUGAAUUGGCCAGUAGAUAGAAGCUCGCUUAAUUAUGGUGAUUAAUCCAACGUUGUUGGAUAUUGUUUCAAUCAAAAUCAAUCUGUGUAACCUCAUAAUUCAUUGGAUGUAGGCCACUGGCAGCUGCCGCUUUUCUGAUAAUAGUAAACUCCAGGAGUUCUCCAUUUGUACAAACUUUCAGAGAUUCAUACAGUUCAGACAAGUAAUACUAAAUUGCUGUAAAUUUUUUAUUUGUGACAGGGACCUCCUGCACAUCGUCUCUGUCACUCUGUGUCAGCCGUGUGCUCCUGGUACUGGCAGUGUGUCCAAUCACAGCCAAUUUUAUUGGCAUACAUACUUGAACUCUGAACUCUUUUCAGAUGGUGUUGUAAAAACAUUGGCUCAUAGAUUUUGUUAGUAAUUAUUAUUCAGAACAUUUCCUUUUAAGUCAAAGAGAUUUGUGAUUCACAUCGAGAGUGUGGAGGGUUUAAGUUCAGAAAUACUAGCUGACUGCCAAUGUAUUAAUGGUUAGACAUUUUUUUAAUCCUAUUUACUUGUCCUCCAGGGUAAUUAUAAUAGCAUCUUGAGCCCAGGUACAGUGUUACUGCCAUCUAACGCCGCUAUGUUUUAGCUCCAGAAAUUUGGACCCUCCUGAUAAGUUAUAUGCUCUUUGUUGUUAAUUGUAGUGAUAGUCACUAUGAUUGAAUUUGUAAGGUGACAAAUUGACAGUUAUUGCUUGAUGAUCUUACUCUUGUUCGUCACAUUGCAUACUUCUUACAUGGGAAUCAUCAAAUGUGUACAUAUAUGACAGUUAUAACUUAUAGGGGGGAAAUAACUUAUCCCCUAUAGGCUGAUUAUUAAAAGUUGUUGGACAACUGUAUUAACUGUAUUUUAUUCCUGAUUGAGCAAUCUUAUAGGGAGGGGGGGGGGGGGAUUAUUUCUUUUAUACAUCCGGCAUCAAUUUUUUUCUUAUGAGGAAGAUUUUCAUGCGGUAGUCAUAUAUGCAACAUGUGUUGAAGGUGUUUCUCUCUACUCUGUGCUCCAGAUUUGUUUUCCCUACGAUAUGGAAGAAUAAUGUAUAUUCUUUUGAUUUGUACCUUACAUAGUUAUAUUACAUACAUGCUCUGCGUGUAACUGCUUGUAUGCUGCAAACCUGGGUUGUGCAGGCAGCAAGUGGUUUCAUCCUUUUUACGGGAAAAUGCCUGUAACAAGGAUUUCACCCUAAACUCUUUUGAUUAUACAAACUACAAAGUGAUCUAAUUUCCAUCUUCUCCCUAUGCAGAGUCAAUCAAAAGUCUUAGUGCCACUUCUUGCUGCUACUACAUUCAUGAUGACCAUUGUGUGACUACAUUUGCUGUCGUCAAGCCUUUCAAGUAUCUGCUCUCCUGAUGUUUACACAAGGGAGAUGCUACUAAGGAAGCAGAACAUGGAGAAGUUUUCCUGAUGUUUACACAAGGGAGAUGCUACUAAGGAAGCAGAACACGGAGAAGUUUUCCUGAUGUUUACACAAGGGAGAUGAUACUAAAGAAGUAGAACACGAAGAAGUUUCAAUGAAUUAGAGAGUUAUAGAUGCCAGCUGGUCCUCUACAUACCUGAUAAAAAUAAGAAAAAUAUAUGUCAAUGUAAUCUGCAUCCAUUGCAGCUAAUAGCUCUCAGUUUUGCCAAUGGCAAUGGGCUGCUGGGUAUCAACCGAAUGACGAAUAGUGGCCCGAGGGAUGGUAACAUGGUUGCCUCUUUCGGAAUAGCCAUUUAGAUAUUAUUAUGUUUAAGAGAGGAUGACAAUUUUUUCUUCAAAUUUGAGCCUUCCACGAGCUCAAAUUUGACUCCUUGGUUCUUAUCUCUAUGUAGUUAUGGAUCAGUGAGAUAAUGGAUUACCAGUGGCUUUUGUGUAGUUAUGGAAUUAUCUGUGUAUAAGAAUAAGGAUGCACAUGUAA